CCUCUAUCAGUACUGAGUAUUUCUAUACCUUUAUAGAAGAUUUUAUGUUGAAACUAGUAACAAGAAGUCAGACCUUCUCUUAAAUGCAAGCAUAAAUCAGAAUGGACUGACCACUGAUAAUUAACGCUAAUGAUCACCAAUCAGCAACCUCCAAAGAAAAAUCUUAUUUCCUACAGCGUCAACCUGACACAAGAGCAUUUCAAGAAAGAUUUAAAGAAAAAGAAGGAACUCGGCAAAUAUUAACCCCGCCUGUUUACCAAAAACAUCGCCUCUUGAACAAAAAUAAGAGGUCCAGCCUGCCCAGUGACUAAUGUUCAACGGCCGCGGUAUCCUAACCGUGCGAAGGUAGCGUAAUCACUUGUUCUUUAAAUGAGGACUAGUAUGAAUGGCACCACGAGGGUUAUACUGUCUCCUCUUUCUAAUCAGUGAAACUAAUCCCCCCGUGAAGAAGCGGGGAUUAAACUAUAAGACGAGAAGACCCUAUGGAGCUUUAAAUUUACCCUCAAACGCCAAAAUCAUACAGCAAGUUUUAAACUUCACCACACGAACUUUCGCGCCAUGAGGGCAACUUUUAGGUUGGGGUGACCAUGGAGUAUAAAAUAACCUCCAUACUGAACAGGCCUCCAAGCCUCGAACCAAGGGCCACGACCCGCCGCACUAAAAUAUUAACAUCCAUUGAUCCAAUGUAUUUUGAUCAACGAACCAAGUUACCCUAGGGAUAACAGCGCAAUCUACUUCAAGAGUUCCUAUCGACAAGUGGGUUUACGACCUCGAUGUUGGAUCAGGGUGUCCCAGUGGUGCAGCCGCUACUAAUGGUUCGUUUGUUCAACGAUUAAAACCCU
rnacentral:rRNA from 1 species